rnacentral:lncRNA from 1 species
UGCUCAUGAUGCCAUCUCAUUUCUUCAGCUAUCGUUAUGGACAGAUACAAUCUUUGAAGUCUUGAAAUCAAUGAAAGAUACUUCAAAAUCUUUUGAGAUAUCUUCUUUUCUUUUUUGUUAUCAAUUUUAUACCUAGGCUCACUGUAUUUUAGACAUUUAGUUGCCUAUUCUCUAUCCUUAUAAAAUAAUAUACAAUCAUUUUUAUAGGCAUCUAUAAAAAUAU